rnacentral:rRNA from 1 species
UCUCCGUUGGUGAACCAGCGGAGGGAUCAUUGCUGGAACUGCGCCUCGGCGCACCCAGAAACCCUUUGUGAACUUAUACCUAUUUGUUGCCUCGGCGUAAGGCUGGGCCCCUCGGGGCCCCCCCAGUCUCUGGGGAGCAGGCCCGCCGGCGGCCAAGUAAACUCUUGUUUUUACCUGGAACUCUGAGUGAAAAAACACAAAUGAAUCAAAACUUUCAACAACGGAUCUCUUGGUUCUGGCAUCGAUGAAGAACGCAGCGAAAUGCGAUAAGUAAUGUGAAUUGCAGAAUUCAGUGAAUCAUCGAAUCUUUGAACGCACAUUGCGCCCUCUGGUAUUCCGGAGGGCAUGCCUGUUCGAGCGUCAUUUCAACCCUCAAGCCUGGCUUGGUGAUGGGGCACUGCUCUGGAGACAGAGCAGGCCCUGAAAUACAGUGGCGAGCUCGCCAGUACCCCGAGCGCAGUAGUUAAACCCUCGUUCUGGAAGGUGCUGGCGGUGCCCUGCCGUUAAACCCCCAACUUCUGAAAAUUUGACCUCGGAUCAGGUAGGAAUACCCGCUGAACUUAA